AGAGUUUGAUCCUGGCUCAGAAUCAACGCUGGCGGCGUGCCUCAGACAUGCAAGUCGAACGCGAAAGUCCCCUUCGGGGGGCAAGUAGAGUGGCGCACGGGUGAGUAACACGUAGGUAAUCUACCUUUGGAUGGGGAAUAACCACCGGAAACGGUGGCUAAUACCGCAUAAUGCAGCGGCACCUAAUGGUGACAGUUGUUAAAGCGGGGGAUCGUAAGACCUCGCGUCUGAAGAGGAGCCUGCGGCGGAUUAGCUAGUUGGUAGGGUAACGGCUUACCAAGGCAAUGAUCCGUAGCCGGCCUGAGAGGGCGGUCGGCCACACUGACACUGACAUACGGGUCAGACUCCUACGGGAGGCAGCAGUCGGGAAUUUUGGGCAAUGGGCGAAAGCCUGACCCAGCAACGCCGCGUGAAGGAUGAAAUCCCUCGGGAUGUAAACUUCGCAAGAACGGGAAGAAUAAGUAAGGGUUAAUAUCUCUUACGAUGACGGUACUGUUUGUAAGCUCCGGCUAACUCCGUGCCAGCAGCCGCGGUAAUACGGGGGGAGCAAGCGUUGUUCGGAUUUACUGGGCGUAAAGGGCGCGUAGGCGGGCCACCGCAAGUCGACUGUGAAAUCUCCGGGCUUAACCCGGAAAGGUCAGCCGAUACUGCGGGGCUAGAGUGCAGAAGGGGCAACUGGAAUUCUCGGUGUAGCGGUGAAAUGCGUAGAUAUCGAGAGGAACACCUGCGGCGAAGGCGGCAUCCUGGACCGACAUUGACGCUGAACGGCGAAAGCUAGGGGAGCAAACGGGAUUAGAUACCCCGGUAGUCCUAGCCCUAAACGAUGAAUGUUUGGUGUGGCGGGUAUCGAUCCCUGCCGUGCCGAAGCUAACGCAUUAAACAUUCCGCCUGGGGAGUACGGUCGCAAGGCUGAAACUCAAAGGAAUUGACGGGGGCCCGCACAAGCGGUGGAGCAUGUGGUUCAAUUCGACGCAACGCGAAGAACCUUACCCAGGCUCGAACGGCAAUUGACACCCGGUGAAAGCCGGCUCCCGCAAGGGCAAUUGUCGAGGUGCUGCAUGGCUGUCGUCAGCUCGUGUCGUGAGAUGUUGGGUUAAGUCCCGCAACGAGCGCAACCCUUGUCCGCUGUUGCCAUCAGGUUAAGCUGGGCACUCUGCGGAGACUGCCGGUGAUAAACCGGAGGAAGGUGGGGAUGACGUCAAGUCAGCAUGGCCUUUAUGUCUGGGGCUACACACGUGCUACAAUGGCCGGUACAAACCGUCGCGAUACCGCAAGGUGGAGCUAAUCGGAGAAAGCCGGUCUCAGUUCGGAUUGCAGGCUGCAACUCGCCUGCAUGAAGUUGGAAUCGCUAGUAAUCGCGGAUCAGCACGCCGCGGCGAAUACGUUCCCGGGCCUUGUACACACCGCCCGUCACAUCACGAAAGCUGGCUGUACUAGAAGUCGCCGCGCUAACCCGCAAGGGAGGUAAGCGCCUAAGGUAUGGUUAGUGAUUGGGGUGAAGUCGUAACAAGGUAACCGU
rnacentral:rRNA from 1 species